AGCUGGGUCAAAAAGGAUCUUGCUGUGAUUUAUGUCAUAGAGUGUUCUGCCUAUGUUUUCCUCUAAGAGUUUGAAGGCAUGGGAGAGACUUAAGUUACCCACAAGAAGAUCCAAAGAAUCAUAGGUUGUGACAGAAAUAAAGUUUACAGAAGUCGUGUUCCUGCGAUAAGAAAUAAAGAUGUGACCUUCCAGUUGUGUAAAGCUCUUAAAUGCUGUGUGAGUGCGUCGGGUGCGCUAAGGAACCUGGAGCUAAAUGGGCUAGUUCUGAGAGAGAGAGACUUAACUAUGUUAACAAGCUGCCAAGCAGUAACGGCUGUCUUUGUACUGAAUCCCGGAAGUGUCUCUGUAUCCUGGAAGUAUUGCAAUGAUCGUCUUCACACCUGCAAAAUAUUCCUGCACCGUGUACGCAAAUGAUUAUGGCUCCGCUCUCGGGCCUCAUCUGGGAGCUACUGCAUGUGAGGAUCAAAUUGAUACACAUUAGGGCAUCCUCAGCGGUCUUUGGCAAAGGCCUAUAGAUUACCUCGCUAUCCAAUUUGUUAACUGGACAGCAGAGCCUGAGUGGAAAGAACAAUGCGCUCGUCAGUUGGGAGAAGCUCCUCCAGGUAUCAACAGAUACAAGCAAGGCAAUCUCACUGUGCAGGUUGAUUAGAACUGGGUUUGUAUUUUGGACAAUAAACUCUACUUAUGAUAGUCUCCCAGUCACUAAGUAUCUCUGCUGUAAGAGAAAACUGGGGCUAUUAACUUCUCCAGAUAGAACCCGAGGGAAAAGUGAUCAUUUCUUCUAUAAGCAGAAGGGAAGGUUCUCCUCAAUAAAGAUCAAUUAAACAUCUCUGUUAAAA